UAAUACGAAGGGGGCUAGCGUUGUUCGGAAUUACUGGGCGUAAAGCGCGCGCAGGCGGCUAUCCAAGUCAGUGGUGAAAGCCCGGGGCUCAACUCCGGAACUGCCAUUGAAACUGUUUAGCUUGAGUAUGAGAGAGGUGAGUGGAAUUCCCAGUGUAGAGGUGAAAUUCGUAGAUAUUGGGAAGAACACCGGUGGCGAAGGCGGCUCACUGGCUCAUUACUGACGCUCAGGCGCGACAGCGUGGGGAUCAAACAGGAUUAGAUACCCUGGUAGUCCACGCCGUAAACGAUGAAUGCUAGCCGUUGGGCAGCUUGCUGUUCAGUGGCGCAGCUAACGCAUUAAGCAUUCCGCCUGGGGAGUACGGCCGCAAGGUUGAAACUUAAAGGAAUUGACGG
rnacentral:rRNA from 1 species